UUCCAAAUUUACAAAAGACAAAUAAAAAUGGGAAAAUAUUCGUCAAUUCGUAUUCAUCGGGACUUAAAAUUUGAUGAAUACGAAUCGACGACUAUAUAAAGAAUCGGCUAUUUUCGUCAAAAAAAGCCGAUCCGUUUUUAUAUUCAUUCCCAUCUCUAAUUAAAACUCAUACUAAGAGCGAUAUUAAAAAACACAAAUAAAACAACAUAAUAAAAUAAUUCCUUUUAAAAAUCCCGUUGGUCAACCAGUCAUUUAAACGAAAGCGCCUGAAAUGAAAGGUUUUCGCCUGCUUGUGGAAGAAUAGCAGAGAUGGGGUGUCUGCUUGUGGAAGAAUAGCAGAGAUGGAGGCCCACCUGGCCUCCUGGCGGAGGGAGGUCCGAAGUCUAGAAGCAGCCACAGAGGAGGUCCUCUUCUGUCUUCCCGUCAAGCGCACCUGUGAAGGUAGUGGGACCGAGAGAAAGGCCUCUCCUGAUUAUCUUAAUACCAAGAAGGCUCACAAAGGGAGACAAGGUCCUUAAGACAUCUUGGGCCCAAGCCAUUUAAGGCUUUAUAGGUUUGAACUGUGCCUGGAAAUGAAUCAGCAGCCAGUGACUGCUGUAACAGAGGAGUUACGUGUUGUCUGAAACUAGUUUUAAGUACGAUGGGGCAGUAUAUAAGGAACAUGCUUUGUUUUGAUAUCACCUCUUCCUUUAUCCCCAUCCUCUUCACUUCCCUGCAUUCCUCCAGCUUCUUGUUUCACCAGCAUAACUGGGUAGCUGGGAGUCCACCUGUCCAGCAGCAAGCACUGGUCACCUCGUCCUUGUCUGACAUCACAGUCGGGAGACUCACUUUCCAGGCAAGCUGCAGUGGGAAGGGCAAGAGCUCCUGCUUGCCAAGCUCUGCACGUACAGCCGAAAAACUGCUUUGUCACAGGAAGUUAUGCCGUGGAAGGAUGCAGAAUCAGAGGAAGCAUUCGUUCUGCUGAAAGCUCACGAGUGCCCGCCGCCUCCUCUUUACCUUUGGAACAUCUAGAUUCUUAAUGGCCGAUUAAAGGUCUCACCUGCUCCUGCAUCUGCCUUGGAGGGUGCUGGACUCUCUGAGGGGACAUGACCACCUUUUAGGAAUGCUUUUGCUGUGGAUUUGCUGCUUUGGGAGCACAGUGUUGCAGGGGCCGUCAACCCCCGGUCUGCGGCCCAGUGCUGGUCCGUGGGCUUGCUGGAACUGGGCCAUGGAUAAUGAUCUCCGCCCCCUGCAUGCACGCGUGGGGGGUAUCGUGCCCACAUUGGGCAUGUUACGCCCCCCGUGAGCGUGACAUACCCACCACGCUUGCACGGGGUGCCUCUGCCCCCACACACAAGGAGCUCACUCCCCCCCCAGCCAGUCCAUGGCCCCAAAAAGGUUGGGGACAACUGCAGUAUUGGACCUGAUGAUUCUUUGGAUUUCACCUAAGUCUACAAUUCCAUGCUUCUGUGACAUCUUAAAACCAGACGGGGCCCUGCUUUACUACACUUGUCCUCCCUCAAACCUAGGGCAAUGUUGCCCCUUCCUCCAGCUUUGGAAAGCUUAUAUUCCCACGGAGACUCUGCAUUCUAAAACCCCAAUAUUUUUGCCCCCUAAGUGGCACGCUACAUGUCCCAGGAGCCUUUGUGAGGAAUGCUAUGCCACGUAAACUUAAUUUUGCCUCUCCCCCUGUCUCGUACCCUGUUUUAGGCUUUACUUUUUAAAGAAACAAUAAUUGAGCAUCCACUCUCUGGUAAUGCUUAAAGAAAGUGGGAAUUAUGUUUAAACAGCCAGUCGGAUGUUUUGAGGCUUCUAGCAGUGCAAUGUGCCAUUUGGGCAUACACAGCAAUUGAAACCGUUGGGAAACAGAUCAGACCAAAUAGCUAAUCCAGAGAGGGGACUGCAUGUGAUUCAUAGGCCACCAUUUGCCCACCAAGGAAUCAUCUGUGAGGGCCUGUAAUUGGGCUCCUUCCUCAGGUUAGCUUGUCUGGUUUAUAUGUGAACCCUUGGCUACUAUCAAAAAAGAGAGGAAGAAGUAGGUUCCUGAGCAACAGUAGGUUUUUCAGUAGCAAUUUAUGACAUAAUUAAAGCAAUAAUAAACCCACAAUUUCUGCAUCA
ensembl:lncRNA